AAAGAGGCCGCCGCACAUCACGCGCCUAACAAAAUCAUCCCCUGCCGUGAUUGCGCCCCCGCUUCCUCCCCUCUACCGUGCUUCCCUUCUCCCCACGGACGCCAUCCACGCCUCCGCCGCCGCCUCGCGCGACGGGCGCCAUAUCUCCCCUAUUUCCCUCUCUUCUCCACGGCCACGCCGCGUCGCCGGCCGAGCCCCGUUGCAGUCGCUGUGAGCCGCCUCCCCGCCCUGCCCCGCAGCCCGCCCCACACCCUAAGCUGCAGCAAAGAUGCCCGAGCGAGGCGGAGGGGAUCGAGGCGUGCGGUUCGCGGUGACUGGCGGGCAGGGCUUCCUUGGCGCCGCCCAAUGUCUGGAGCUGAUCCACCGCGGCGCCCUGGAGGUCUGCUCCCUCGACCUGCAGGAUUCCUCCUCCUGGUCCCAGCAGCUCCUCGACGCCGGCAUCCGCUUCUUCCAAGUUUCGUAUUGGUUCAUCUUGGUUCGAGCCAUAUAAGCCCGUGGAUCGACCCAGCGGUGCUGGAUCUGAAGCACCAGAUAGGGAGAUGCCCCUUCGUGUAUGCCUAGAUACCAAAGGCAGAGUAUUAUGACCUCUACCACGAGUUCGACGUGAAGAUGCUGCACCCGGUCAGGGACGACCAGCUGCAGGUGUUCUCGGCGAGGUUCAACGAGGUCUUCCGCAAAUGCCAGUGCCCGGGCAAUAUCUGCUUCCUACAUGGCAUCUCAACGCAUAAUGGGAGGCUUUGUGUAGCGAUGAGGUUUUCCGAAGGAUCCAUUGGGGAUAGGAUGGCUCGACUUAAAGGUGGAAGGCUCCCUUUGUCAGAUGUUUUAAGAUAUGGCGCCGAUUUGCCGCUUGGUGUGCUAGAACUACACUACAUGGGAAUAUUUGUUCAGAAUCUCCAGUCUUGUAAUUUUCUCCUUGAUGACAAUGACCAGGAAGCAUGGUUUCGUUUUAUCCCAUAUAUCAGUACAUAAUUGGAGGUGAACAUGAACUCUAGCAAUCCAAAAUAGCAGAUACAAAAUAACUGCAGCUCAGGCCAUGUAGUUCUACAACAACCAAGGAAGAAGUCCCUUUUUUUAAGCCAACCUCAGCCAAGGAAUUUAGGCUUAUAUGGGUGCUCUCUGUUUUUCAGAGGUGCGUGUACUGAGAGCGCCCACGAUUCAGGCCAAAAAAUCUAGACAAAGUGAUAGCCCGUUGAAGGAUGCUGAUUGUGGCUAUACAACUUCAACAACGUGCUUGCUACUCAUGAGUGGCAAAGUAUAACAUGCCACCAUUUUUUAAAUAAGCCCCUUCAAAUUAUGUAUGCAGUAUGCUGGGAAGAACUCAUGACAAAGCCUUGUUUGUAUGCUUGUCUUAAUGUAUUUUCAUACUGGCUCGAGUGAUGUACUCUUGCCCCCUACAUGACACCGCCUUUGCAGUGUAUUCUUGGUCGCGUGUUGCUCAAUUAGGUUAUUCUAUUUUUCUUUUUCUUUUUUAUUCACUGUUGUUGGCAUGAAUUUGCCCGUGCAUUUGGUCCUAUCAUUGACAACAAUUUAAACCUGUUAAUCCAGGAAGGAUAUGCACAUCAUUAGUGCACCUUUAUUUAUUUUGAGUAUAAAUGAGUAGUUAAUUUGCUAAUUAAAUUUGUUUUCUUGCGGGUAUAUUCAUCUCAUUAGAACGUCAUUUGUGUGGCUUGGUCUUCCUAAAUAUUGUGUGGGUUUUUUCCUUUCCUGGUUUAGCUUUGCGAAACAAUGAUUAUUUGAGCGUGUGAUCUACUCAUGCCUAUUUACCUUAUUGUAUAGUUUGCCAUUCUAGAACACUAGAUCUUUCUCCACAGCUGAGAUGUUGAUAUGACAAGUUUAAUUUGUGUUUAAUCUUUGCAGAACUAAUUUUGCUUCCCAUACAUGUCAUACAAAAAUGUUAAAUUCCCAUCAUUUUUGUUCACGGAUGUCGCACCACAGGUGAUGAGAGACUCAGGAUGGGGGCAAAACGGUCUUGACCACCGGCGGACUCAUCUAUCGUCUCACCAUCACUCCCACGGGCAGCGUUAUAGUUGAGUCCAACAAUUCAGUUCUGAAGAUAACAUGUAGGUUUAACCGAAGAGGAACGGAUUAAAACUUUUUUUAAUAUUUUUAUUCAAAGUUGCAUCUCUGUCAUGUUCACAUGGACAAUGACUAUACUUAUUAUAAGCCCUUCCAAGUUCACACGAGAAAUUAGACAUUCUGCAUUCUUGACUAUACGACUAUGAUUUUUUGGAUUAGGAUUUCCUUGUCCUCUUGAACUUCACAUGACAUAAUCAAAAGAUAAGUGAUUGGGUUUAUAUUAAGCUUGACCGUGAGAGAUGUGGGGAUCAUCAGGCACUACAUAUAUUUGUACCCCCCAACACACACACAUCAAAUUUCUGGAAUCUAAAUUUAGAAUUCAAUACUCACAUGAAUUUCAUAGGCUGCUUUGAUCAAGAUGAGUAGAUGACACAAGUACACGCUUAGUAUUCCCUCCAUUCACAAAUAUAAGAUGUUCUACCUUUUAUAUGAAUCGGAUGUAGAUAGACACAUUUUAGUGUGCUUGAGCUUCAU